rnacentral:rRNA from 1 species
AUUGAACGCUGGCGGCAUGCCUUACACAUGCAAGUCGAACGGUAACAGCACUUCGGUGGCUGACGAGUGGCGGACGGGUGAGUAAUACAUCGGAACGUGCCCGAUCGUGGGGGAUAACUACUCGAAAGAGUGGCUAAUACCGCAUACGAUCUACGGAUGAAAGCGGGGGAUCGCAAGACCUCGCGCGGGCGGAGCGGCCGAUGGCAGAUUAGGUAGUUGGUGGGAUAAAAGCUUACCAAGCCGACGAUCUGUAGCUGGUCUGAGAGGACGACCAGCCACACUGGGACUGAGACACGGCCCAGACUCCUACGGGAGGCAGCAGUGGGGAAUUUUGGACAAUGGGGGAAACCCUGAUCCAGCCAUGCCGCGUGCAGGAUGAAGGCCUUCGGGUUGUAAACUGCUUUUGUACGGAACGAAAAGACUCUUUCUAAUACAGAGGGUCCAUGACGGUACCGUAAGAAUAAGCACCGGCUAACUACGUG